ACCUCUUUACAUAUUGUUAUAAUUACAUUUUCAGGAAGCAUCAUUUAAUAUGAAACUUCCAAGACGAAACAUGAUCGUGCAAUUCACAUGCAAUUCCUGUGGUGGAAGAACGCAGCGUAGAGUCAAUAGAGUUGCCUAUGAACGUGGAACAGUGUUCGUUCAGUGUGCAGGAUGCAUGAAGAAUCAUAAGCUUGUGGACAACCUUGGUCUUGUGGUUGAGUAUGACCUCCGAGAAAAUCUUGAUACAGAUUUUGAUGGCACUCUAUAGGCAGAUGAAUGCAAUGCAGCAGGGCUUCUUUGAGCCGUACUCUAAACUUUAUGGAAUUGAAAUAUAGAUUUUCCUCAUCGAUCCCCAAUCAUAAUGUUAAGUCACUAUAAAUGGAGCUUGGUGGUGUUGAAGAUUUUGUGAUUCGCGCUUUAGAAGAAGGCAAGUUUCAGAAUACAUUGAAGAACGAUGAACUUUGUCUCAUUUGCGACCAGUUUUGCCUAGAAUUACAGCUCCUCUUUCUUCAUUCUUCAACACUACGGCUAAGUGCCUAACUAGAUUUUUCCGAACUAUUUUGUUAUCAUAAUUACAUUCAUAAUUAUCCCGUAAGAACAACGGGUCAAAUUGAGCAUAAAUCUCUCUUUACAUGUUCAAAGUAAGCAUGGUUAAGAUCACUUGAUUUCUUCUCAUUAACAUUAAUAAAGCCAUAGGGUUGAAGAAAGUUGUUUAUUGCCGGGGAAGGGGGGUGGAGGUUAUUCUUUGUAAAGUAUAUGACCCAUUAGUAAAGUUUCAUCCAUUGAGAUGAUGAGCUCAUGCUUGUUUGAUGAGUAGUUUGAGUUUAUUUUAUUUUAUUUGAGCAAAGGAGUUGAAUUGUGUAAAAUAUUUUUCAAACUUACCUAUUAAGGUGGCUAGCCUAUUCAGACAA